rnacentral:rRNA from 1 species
UCGCAAGAGGAGCCUGGAGACAGGUGCUGCAUGGCUGUCGUCAGCUCGUGUCGUGAGAUGUUGGGUUAAGUCCCGCAACGAGCGCAACCCUUGUCUUUAGUUGCCAUCAUUUAGUUGGGCACUCUAAAGAGACUGCCGGUGUCAAACCGGAGGAAGGUGGGGAUGACGUCAAGUCCUCAUGGCCUUUAUGACCAGGGCUACACACGUACUACAAUGGCCGGUACAAAGGGCAGCCACUUAGCGAUAAGGAGCCAAUCCCGUAAAGCCGGUCUCAGUCCGGAUUGGAGUCUGCAACUCGACUCCAUGAAGUUGGAAUCGCUAGUAAUCGCAGAUCAGCACGCUGCGGUGAAUACGUUCCCGGGCCUU